GAUGAGAACGUAGCGAAAUGCGAUAAGUAGUGUGAAUUGCAGAAUUCAGUGAAUCAUCGAAUCUUUGAACGCACAUUGCGCCCCUUGGUAUUCCAUGGGGCAUGCCUGUUCGAGCGUCAUUUGUACCCUCAAGCUUUGCUUGGUGUUGGGUGUUUGUCCCGCGCUCUUUUGCGCAAGACUCGCCUUAAAUCAAUUGGCAGCCGGCAUGUUAGCCUGGAGCGCAGCACAAUUUGCGCCCCUUGCUUGCUUGUGUUGGCCCCCAUCAAGUCCAUAUAUUUGCUCUUGACCUCGGAUCAGGUAGGGAUACCCGCUGAACUUAAGCAUAUCAAUAAGCGGAGGA
rnacentral:misc_RNA from 1 species